CCUACGGGAGGCAGCAGUGAGGAAUAUUGGUCAAUGGACGAGAGUCUGAACCAGCCAAGUAGCGUGAAGGAUGACUGCCCUAUGGGUUGUAAACUUCUUUUAUAUGGGAAUAAAAUGUUCCACGUGUGGGAUUUUGUAUGUACCAUAUAAAUAAGGAUCGGCUAACUCCGUGCCAGCAGCCGCGGUAAUACGGAGGAUCCGAGCGUUAUCCGGAUUUAUUGGGUUUAAAGGGAGCGUAGGUGGAUUGUUAAGUCAGUUGUGAAAGUUUGCGGCGCAACCGGAAAAUUGCAGUUGAAACUGGCAGACUUGAGUACAGUAGAGGUGAGCGGAAUUCGUGGUGUAGCGGUGAAAUGCGUAGAUAUCAGGAAGAACACCGAUGGCGAAGGCAGCUCACUGGACUGCAACUGACGCUGAGGCUCGAAAGUGUGGGUAUCAAACAGGAUUAGAUACCCCGGUAGUC
rnacentral:rRNA from 1 species